rnacentral:lncRNA from 1 species
GUGUCAAGGAGAGCUCAAGCAUAGGAGGAUAACGGGUCAAGAUAAGGCAAGGUCACAAAUACACUUAUUGGAGCACUCAAGGUAAGUGAUUUCUAUAAUCACUUCUUAUUUUAUUUAAGUAAAGUAGCGUUAGUUGAUUAAGCAUGAUGGGGUUUGAAGUUUCAUAUGGUUUUGGUCGUAUGAAAUUGGUAAUUUUAGCUUAGUAGACCGAAUGGGACAAUAUAAAGUUGUAAUGCUAUGACGAAUAAUGUCUAUGUAAUGGCUACAGUAUGUAACCGGGUAAUGGGUAAAAUUGCACAUAAGUGCACCAACCGAGAAUGGGGACUUAGGUUAAUGGGUCAAAGUGAAGGUAUACUUUAGCACGGAACGUUUGUACAAGCAAUGUCGAUAGUAUUUCAUGUGCCCGGUUAGUGUAAGGUGUUAUAACAUUAACAUUAUGUGAGCCUUAAGUGUAAACAUAUGAGUUGUUGAUAAAUGCAUGACGGGUCGAAUAAUUCGUAAUGGAUAAUAAGCCGAAAAUGUAUAAGUUAAGAAUUUCCUUAACCCGGAUGUUGGAUUUUAAGUUCACAUAAUAGAAUGUUAGUUUACAAUCAUGCAGGAAGAAACGGGAGGUUAAUCGGGUAAACGGUUUAAAAGCUAUGCAAGUUUUUGUGCGUGCGAACGACAAAACAACACAGCAGAAAAAUGGCAAAACUAGAGGCCGUCGCCGACGCCCCUAUGGGCCGUCGCCGACGCCUUGUGCAUUUUCAGUUUUCUCCGACGCCUAAUUUUCCUGUCUACGGAGGUUUCUGGCUACGCGAAAAACUAAUAGCCGUCGCCGACGCCCUAUAGGGCCGUCGCCGACGGCCUCCACAUGUUUUAAAUGCUGAAAUUCGUUAAUUAAGUUAUUUUGUGUACCGUAAGCUUCGGUAUAUUAACCGUGGUCUACGACGGGCCUCCCAAGCAUAAUUUUGAAUGUUUCCUUGAUGCUUUUGGAUCAUAAAUCCAAGUCUAAGCACUCCAUAAUUAAUGUACGAGUAUGAUAAGUAUGCAUGUAUACAUGGUUUCAAUACGUUUGAGUAUGGACGUUACUAAUGAUGUGCUUGAGAUUGGAAUGUAAUGCAGGGAUGAGAACGUCAGACUCUUGUAGAAUUGAAGCCGAACCUGGAAGCCGAACUCGAAACAAAGGAAUCCGAGAGGAUAGUCGAAUGAAUUAAAGUUUAUGUUG